CCGCCGCGCACAAAGCACCCCCCACUUCUCUCGGGCAACGCCGCCACCGCCGCCAAAUCCUCACGCGUUCAUUGGCCGAGGGGGUCUCGUCUCCUGAGGACACAUUGUAGCUAUAACCUAUUCUUUGAUAAUUAAAAAAUAGUGGGCAGCUGAGAGAUGAAAAGCAUUGUAAUAAUGUAGACUUAUUCUUACUGUGUAGUGCCGAAGAUUUCUGGGAAGGCCUGCGAACAUCUCUUCUAGAGAUCUAGGCCUCUACUGACUCUCUUCCUGCUGUAACUAUCGACUCAGAGACUUGUGGGUAAUGUGGAGUACGUCAGCAUCUCUACUAUAUCCUGGACUGCUUGGGGAGCUCAGAGUUCAGAGAGUUCCAUGCUGAUCACGUAGCUUCUUUCCAGUUUGUUUCUCAGUGUGCCUGAGCUGUCAGUGCCCUCUACUGCUUUUUCUGUCAGACCUUGUCAGACCAGUUGCUGUGAGAGCUUCUGUUCAACUACCUACCCAUUCUCAAAUGUUCUUACCUCUCUAUGAAAAUUAUAGCACACACAAAAAAUUCUUUUCUUUGUGAUAAGUUAAUAAAACCUUGAAAUACCA